CAUAUGCUUGUCUCAAAGACUAAGCCAUGCAUGUCUAAGUAUAAAUGUUAUACAGUGAAACUGCGAAUGGCUCAUUAAAACAGUUAUAGUUUAUUUGAUAAUCAAAAUUACAUGGAUAACCGUGGUAAUUCUAGAGCUAAUACAUGCUGGUUAGCCUGACUUUUGCGGAAGGGCUGUAUUUAUUAGAUAACAAACCAAUAUUCCCCGUGUCUAUUGUGAUGACUCAUAAUAACUGAUCGAAUCGCAUGGGCUUUGCCCGCGAUACGUCAUUCAAGUUUCUGCCCCAUCAGCUUUCGAUGGUAGUGUAUUGGACUACCAUGGCGUUCACGGGUAACGGAGGAUUAGGGUUCGAUUCCGGAGAGGGAGCCUGAGAAACGGCUACCACAUCUAAGGAAGGCAGCAGGCGCGUAAAUUACCCAAUCCUGACUCAGGGAGGUAGUGACAAGAAAUAACGGACCGAAGCCUAUGUUUCGGGAUUGCAAUGAGUAGAAUUUAAACCCCUUUACGAGGAUCAAUUGGAGGGCAAGUCUGGUGCCAGCAGCCGCGGUAAUUCCAGCUCCAAUAGCGUAUAUUAAAGUUGUUGCAGUUAAAAAGCUCGUAGUUGGAUUUCUGGGAGGGUGCCAAUGUCCGCUGAUUGCGUGUGCAGCGGCGCCCUUCCAUCCUUCUGUUAACGUUUCUGAUAUUCAUUUAUUGGUCUCGGGCUCAGAUAUUUUACCUUGAGAAAAUUAGAGUGUUCCAGGCAGGCUAGCGCCGGAAUACAUUAGCAUGGAAUAAUAGAAUAGGACUUUAGUCUCCUUUGUUGGUUUGAGGGACUGAAGUAAUGAUUAAUAGGGAUAGUUGGGGGCAUUAGUAUUUAAUUGUCAGAGGUGAAAUUCUCGGAUUUGUUAAAGACUAACUUAUGCGAAAGCAUUUGCCAAGGAUGUUUUCAUUAAUCAAGAACGAAAGUUAGGGGAUCAAAGACGAUCAGAUACCGCCCUAGUCUUAACCAUAAACUAUGCCGACUAGGGAUCGGAGGCGCGCCUUAUCCGCCUUCGGCACCUUAUGAGAAAUCAAAGUCUUUGGGUUCUGGGGGGAGUAUGGUCGCAAGGCUGAAACUUAAAGGAAUUGACGGAAGGGCACCACCAGGAGUGGAGCUUGCGGCUCAAUUUGACUCAACACGGGAAAACUUACCAGGUCCAGACAUAGUGAGGAUUGACAGAUUGAGAGCUCUUUCUUGAUUCUGUGGGUGGUGGUGCAUGGCCGUUCUUAGUUGGUGGAGUGAUUUGUCUGGUUAAUUCCGAUAACGAACGAGACCUUAACCUGCUAACUAGUAGCUGGAAGUACGCUUCCAGUCGACUUCUUAGAGGGACUGACUACGUUUAGUAGUCGGAAGUUUGAGGCAAUAACAGGUCUGUGAUGCCCUUAGAUGUUCUGGGCUGCACGCGCGCUACACUGACAAAGUCAGCGAGUAUCAACCUUGACCGAAAGGUCUGGGUGAUCUUGUGAAACUUUGUCGUGCUGGGGAUAGAUCAUUGCAAUUAUUGAUCUUCAACGAGGAAUUCCUAGUAAGCGCGAGUCAUCAGCUCGCGUUGACUACGUCCCUGCCCUUUGUACACACCGCCCGUCGCUACUACCGAUUGAAUGGCUUAGUGAGGCCUUUGGAUCUGUCUUGAUGCCCUUGGGUAUUAGGAUGUGAGAAAUUGGUCAAACUUGGUCAUUUAGAGGAAGUAAAAGUCGUAACAAGGUUUCCGUA
rnacentral:rRNA from 1 species